rnacentral:tRNA from 1 species
GAGGGCGUUUCAGAUUCGUCACAACUGGUAAUAUUAUUGGAGUUAUGCGAUUCGGUGCCCGCCUUUUUAAGGCGAUGGUCGUGGGUUCGAGUCCCGCUGCCCCUA